AUAUUGUGGCUCAAAUUUCAUGUCACCGAACUCAAAUUUAUGAGUACUACAUGAAACGUUAUUACUUUUACUUUUAUAAGCAAAAGUCAAAGUAAUAUCCAAUUAUGUAGGAAUAUUUGUACGUUCACUUAAAAAAGGUACUAAAGCCACAAAUGUCAAUGCACCGAAUUUAGUAAUUGGAAAAGUAUAAAAAGAUUAGAUAUGUAUAUGAUUUUGUUUACAUUUGUUUAUUUUGAUCAAUAUUGUAGGUUUCAUUUUAAGAACGAAAUUAUUGUAAAAUCAGUCUUUAGAUUCACUUGAAUAAAGGAAGAAGUAACAGCUUAA